rnacentral:rRNA from 1 species
UACGUAGGGGGCUAGCGUUGUCCGGAUUUAUUGGGCGUAAAGAGCGUGUAGGCGGCCAAGUAGGUCCGGUGUGAAAACUCGAGGCUUAACCUCGAGAUGUCAUCGGAAACCAUUUGGCUAGAGUCCGGAAGAGGAAAGUGGAAUUCCUGGUGUAGCGGUGAAAUGCGCAGAUAUCGGAAGGAACAUCAGUGGCGAAAGCGACUUCCUGGACCAAUACUGACGCUCAUGUGCGAAAGCGUGGGGAGCAAACAGG